UAAUCAUGGUCCCACUGGAAAUCACACCAAGAAAUGGACUGGGACCAAACCAAACCAAACCAAAUGUGUAAUUCAUGGUCCCAGCAGCCACUCUACCAGGACUGCCGGUUGCGUCACGUCAACUCGGAUCUAAGUACAGUACAGGUGACCUGGCACUUUUGCCAAUAUCUAAUAAAGGCGAGUUGAUGAAAAGGGUGCAAGGUUGUGCCCAACAUGUAUAUUUAUGUAUGUACCUUCCAUCCAAAAUGGCAGUUUAAGAUAAAGUAUUAAAGAUUUCCGAAAUCAUCACGAUCAUUAUUGACGUCACCAUAAGAUUAAUGGAGUGAAACGAAGCGUCCUAAAGCCCAUACUGUCCACUCAUCUGCUCGUUCGAUGCUCGGAUCCCUCACUUUCAUGACUUUGUUCGAGCUUUUUUUUGGCAAGCCCACUGUCCUCAAAUAUGGUCCAAGAAACGCCCCAUCCUAGUAAAACUAACACCGCAAGAGCCCACCAAACCGCUCCAACGAUAUUAUACUUGAGCGCCAGCCCCAAACCCCAACCGCCAACCACCGGGCCCAGCGUCCUCGCGGCGGAGGUCACGCUCUGCGCAACUCCAUGCACAGUCCCCAGCACGCUCGGAUCCGUAACCGAAUUGUUAACCAGAAUAAUAGCCGCGGGAAGCGAGAAUGUUCUCGAAAUGACCUGAACAGAGAAAACCGCUGCCAAAGCCGGCCAGACGAGAUACGGCUGGUUCGGUACGAGAGCUAGGAACGGAACCAAGAAGUUGGCAAGAGCGGAAAACGGUAUGAAUGCACGCAGCGAUUUCAGGGUGCCUAGGUGGAAGUGGACCCGCGGAUAGACGAAUAUCUGUAACGGGAGGCCAAAAAGGCCGAUGAUGGCGGUUGCGAAACCAACUUUGGAGCUUGGCAUGCCAAGACCACCGCCAAAAUGGAAAAUUCCACGACGGCUUCCUUCUGGUGCACGAGGGGUGGGUAAGAAGAUAAAGAUUAGCGCAUUAAAGGCGCUGAGGUGUACGGCGAGGACGAACUGGGUGAGAAGGGUGAGCAAGACAUUCUUCGUCCAGAUUUGAGAGAAGGACAUGCGUUUCCGCCGAGGUAUCCGAAUUGGCCCUCCUCGUCCUGCUGGCACCGAUCCUUGGGCGCUCCUCUCCAGAUCGAUGGAUUCUCCUGCUGUCGGGAUAUCGUAGGUUUCAUCGAUUGAGUGGUAGUUGUGUAGAGUGUGGUCAGGCUUAAAGUGGCGACAUAUCAUUUUACCAAUCUUCCGACCCCAGUCGCUGCGAUACUUGGCUGUUUCAUGGGUCUCGUCUAACCCAAAUAAAACCGCUAGCGCGGAUAUCAGGACAAUAACCGCGCUUAUGGCAUUUGGUAGGGCAUACGGCCAUUUCUUCAUCCACCAGACGCCGUUUUGGCCGCCAAAAAAUGAAUGUGGGCCGAACAGACCCGGAUAGCUAGUCAGAGGGUCAGCGAGAAGUCCACCCAAAAUGGGCCCUAUUAUGACGCCGAUAUUAAAGCACAUUGGCUGGAGUAAGAAGGCCCGAGAUUGAUACCUGGCAUUCAAUUAGCCAGAGUUUUCUUUAGAGGAUAAAUAGCACAUCGCAUUCCGACGGGGAGAUUAACCACGAGUUCAAAAAUGAACGGGCACAGAAUGCGGAAACGGGUUCCAUUUUUCUAGAAAGCGAACAUACUUUUUUUCCACGAUAAAUUCAGAAAUCAUAGUCCGCAUAACACCGAUAUUACUGUUCAGAGCACCUCCCAUGGUGCGAAAUAUUGCAGCAACAAUAAAGGACUGAGAAAAUCCAAAUCCCACACAUGCAAUGGAAGUUCCAAAGAGGCCUACCACGAGCACCCUUUUUCUUCCCAUAAAAUGAGUGUCCGCAAGCCGGCCCCAUAUCAUGGCUGUCGCGAACUGUGCUGCAGUAGAACAGCCCUGUAGAAAACCAGCCCGAGCAGAUAUCGCCGAGUCCGGCAGGGACGGGUCAAAGGAUUUGAGUUGGUAAAAGAUAUACGCUUGGAGGGAAGUUUGAGUCAAAGGCUCGGACAAUCGAGCAAUGGUCAGGAUGAUCAAUUGGGUUUUCUUUGGUAAAGAAGCCCAUGAUACUGGCUUUUCCUCGUCUGGUUCAUACCCAUUUGAUUCCACAACAUUCGCUGCGCUUGUAUCAUGCUCUCCAACAAAAGGUGGCCGUCCACUGGGGGAAUUGGAAGCUGGCAAGUGUCCACUGGUGCCGCUUUGUCCCAGAAGACGAUCGUGAGGGUCAUAGGCAUCGCCAUUCAAACUUGACGAAAUAGACGAUGAAUCGAUAUCACUAUUUUCGUAAAAGUCACCCUGGAGCCUCACUCCAUCAGCUCUAACCGUCGCAGUAGCAUCAUCGCUAUUAUCGAGAGCGUUGCCCGCUCCACUCGACGAUACAUUUCCACGUAAAGCAGAAUGAGGGGAGAAGCUUUCAAGAGAGCUCAUUCAAAAAACCGAGAUGCCAGUCCAAUCC
rnacentral:sRNA from 1 species